GAUGAAACAAUCCAAAACGAGUCUUUGAGACUUGUUUACUGUGUGAACUGUACGCAAUCUUUUAGGGGUCGGUCUCUGUGCCGUUAAAUGGUCGUGCGUUCGGUCAGCCCCGACUUUAUGUUUUUAUAAACUUUGUUUAUUCAGUCUGAGACCCAAUAGUGUUGGAAAACAAAAAAGAGAGACA
rnacentral:misc_RNA from 1 species